UACGGAGGGUGCAAGCGUUAAUCGGAAUCACUGGGCGUAAAGCGCGCGUAGGUGGCUAUUUAAGUCAGAUGUGAAAGCCCUGGGCUCAACCUGGGAAUGGCAUUUGAUACUGGAUAGCUAGAGUAUGGUAGAGGUGAGUGGAAUUUCAGGUGUAGCGGUGAAAUGCGUAGAGAUCUGAAGGAACAUCAGUGGCGAAGGCGGUUGGCUGGGCCGUUGCUGACACUGAGGCGCGACAGCGUGGGGAGCAAACAGG
rnacentral:rRNA from 1 species